GUUUCCCUCUACUUCUUGGACCUUUUGAAGAUGCAAACACAGAGUAAGGUUCGUCUAUUAAAAGUUUGUCAUCAGCAUAUGAGGUUUUGUUUUCCAAAUGCUGCUCGCUUCCUGUGUGGAGAGAUAAGCAGGCAAUCUUACUGUGUUUGCGCUCACAGCCCCCAUUGGGGAGAAAAAUCUCAUAACUGGGGAAAUUCCUCCACCUCCACAGAGCGUUUUCGGAACCCGACAGAUCCUGCCGGAAUCACGGACACUGGCCGGCAAGGAGUGAAGGGUUUGUGUAACGGUCCUAUGUGUGAACCAGGUUUCUGCAUGAAGACGCUCUCACCUCCAUUGCUUCUUUCUUCCUGAGAGACACAGAAAGAGCACACAUGACUCGCCUGCUAGUUAUAAAAAAUCAUUCUCUCCGUCCGGUGGCUCCGCCAUGCAGCUACGAUGAGAGUACUGGUGACCAUGAGAGAAGCUGGUUGCUUGGUAUGAGGUUUUCAUUUUGGCAUUAGCAGGCCUGAAGCACUGCUGGAGACCUACCCAAGCCAGAGCUUCAGUGGGCCCAGCAUGAACCUGAGUGCAGGGGCACAUG